rnacentral:rRNA from 1 species
UACCUGCAGCUCUAGUGGUGUCCGCUAUUAUUGGGCCUAAAACGUCCGUAGCCGGCUUAUUAAAUGCCUGGGUAAAUCGUACGGCUUAACCGUACGAAUUCCGGGUAGACUGAUAAGCUUGGGACCGGGAGAAGCUAGAGGUACUCCUGGGGUAGAGGUGAAAUUUUGUAAUCCUAGGGGGACCACCAGUGGCGAAGGCGUCUAGCUAGAACGGGUUUGACGGUGAGGGACGAAGCCCUGGGGAGCAAACGGGAUUAGAUACCCCGGUAGUCCAGGGUGUAAACGCUGCUUGCUUGAUGUUAGUCGGGCUCCGAGCCCGAUUAGUGUCGGAGAGAAGUUGUUAAGCAAGCUGCCUGGGAAGUACGGCCGCAAGACUGAAACUUAAAGGAAUUGGCGGGGGAGCACUGCAACGGGUGGAGCGUGCGGUUU